AUGGAUCUUAGGUAAUACAGAACCUAACCUGGUCUGGAGAAGGAAGGCAGGGAGGGCUUCUUGAAGGAAGUAACCUCUAACAUGAAACCUGGUAAGAGUUAGGCAGGUGCCGGUGGGAAGGGAGGCGAAUUCCAGGGACAAGAGAGCAUGACAAAGUGAAAGCUGAAAGAGGUUGGGAUGAUGAGAUUAGAUUGGAGACUGAGGAGAGUGUUGAGAGGUCAGGCUACAGACAGAUGUGGGGUAGAGACCUCAGAAGGUUUUACAUGGCAUCCGCCUUGGAGAAAUCUCAUGAAAGUGGACAUUAAGAUUUACAAAGCAGAUGGACAGGUCCUCAAAGAACUCAAGGGCAUUGCAGACAUUCCUGACUUCAUCCUCAUGAUGGCCCCAGUGAUGUCCAUCUGCAAAGUGCUUUGAGAACAUUCUGAGUGGCUUAGGGUACUUUGCUGCUAUUAAGUGCCCAUAUAAAUCCCAACUUAUUGGCUCAAAUAUUUGAUUUCCUAUUUUUCUUUCCACUUGCGUGUCACCUGUAAUUAGAGUUCCAAAGUGCUCAGUGUACCAAAGUGCUCAGGGUGAUUUUUCUAUUAAAACAGAAAGGAGAGAGGACUCAUCGUUUCUGCAGAUUGCAAAGUGGAACAGGCAACUGUUUCCAUCACCUGCAUGGGCAAUUGUGUUGAGAUUGAUGAGACACAUCAAUGACACCCCUCACUUUUUUCUUAAAGGACUGAAUUUAUCUUUCUCUCUCCUACUCAAUGUGUGUGUGAAUGUGUGUAUGGUUGUGUCUACCUUUAUUACUUGCAGGCUCAUCAGCAGCACAAAUUUUUUUUUUUUUUUUUUUUUUUUUGAGAUAGGGUCUCACUCUGUCACCCAGGCUGGAAUGCAGUGACAUGAUCAUGGAUCACUGCAACCUUCAUCUCCUGGGCUCAAGCAAUUCUCCCACCUCAGCCUUCCGAGUGGCUGGGAGUACAGGCAUGUGCUAUCAUAACUUGCUAUUUUUUUUUUUUUUUUUGUAGCGACGAGGUCUUGCUAUGUUGCCCAGGCUGGUCUUGAACUCCUGGGCUCAAGUGAUCCUCCUGCCUCGGCCUCCCAAAGUGCUGGGAUUACAGGUGUGAGCGACUGUGCCAGGCUUAGCAGCACAAAUAUUUAUUGAGCAUCCACUGGGAGUGAUACAGGAAGAGUGUUUUAGGAAGAGGGAAGUGGGUUCAAAAGCCCCCAAGGUGGAAAAGAAGUUAGCUUUUUUCAGACUACAGAUAAGUUUGAAUGGGAAGAUAUAAAAUAAACACUGGAACCCUCACACAGUGCUGGUGGGGAUGUAAAGUGGUGGAUGGCAGGUCCUUAAGUGAUUAAACAUGAUUUAAAAUUAUUUAACCCAGCAAUUCUGCUCCUAGCAAUAUAC
rnacentral:lncRNA from 1 species